GGACGUGAGUUUGAGUAAACUCCGGGAGUUGGUGAUGGACAGGGAAGCCUGGCAUGCUGCAGUCCAUGGGGUCGCAAGAGUCAGACAUGACUGAGCGACUGAACAACAUCAAGAGUCAGGAGUUGUAACAUGGGUCAUUUGCAUCUAAUGGGAGAUACUUGGAUGGCCAUGAGGCUUGGGGUUGCUUAUGUAAAUGAGAACUUGACUCCAAGUUCAAAGGUACAGCCCAGGGGGUUCGCUCCCACCUCUUCUUCUCACAGCUCUGUUCCUGAGCCCUGGGCACUGGAGCCUCAAGAACGGUUUGCUGAGUGACUGGAUAAAUGAACAAACCGCGGUCAUCAGUAAUGGAUUCUGAGCCCACAGGCUGCAUUUGAGAGCACACAGGUCCUUUCUGCUUCCUAAGGUGCAUUUGAUUUGCAUUCUUCCCUGACAUCGCCUGCGACCUAAAAGAAUUAGCCUCACUCUAACAGCUUUGAGACGAGGAAAUGUGAUCCGAAUGCUGGAAAGGAAAUGGUAAUAAAAAAAACUUCCCCGGGUGGAUGCAAGGGUCUGAGCCAGUUGUUCAAAAGUGAAGAUGGAGAAAGAGCAUCAGAAAGGAAGCGGAGGGGACUUCCCUGGUGGUCCAGUGGUUAAGAUUCUGUGCUCCCAAUGCAGGGGGGCGUGGGUUCAAACCCUGGUCAGGGAACCAAGAUCCCUCAUGCCGCACAGCGUGACCCAAAAAAAAAGCAAAACAACAAACAGGAAGUGACGUAAAAGACCACCCCUCCCAGCAUCCUCAGGCAGGCCGCCAGCAGAAGUUAACCUGGAGGACAGACAGAAAACUGAGCCCACACCUCCCCAGUGAGAAUGACGGCAGGGUGUAGACAGCUGACCUCGUAGCCUCUACCCAUGCCGUGUGCUUCACCUCAAAGCCUGACACCACAAGUGGGCCACGGUGCCACCGGAGAAGGGGCGGACAGAUUGCUGCAGCCUCUGACCUCCAAUGUUGAGAUCGUCUCUGAAAACCCGUCCUGCAGCCAGAGGUGGGUCGUGUAACUCAGGAGACCCACAGAAGGAGAGGCAGCAAGACGAGGCCGAGAAGGACCCCGCGUAGAGGUGGCCCAGGGCUGCACAGGUGUAGCCUUCUCAGGAGUGCAGGCUGGCAGACACCUACUGAAGCCAGCCUUCAAGCUCACUCUGAAGAUCUGACUGUGAACGUCCACGAGGAGCUCAUCUUCAAAGACAGUCCCUGUAUCUGGAUCAGUCACAGCCAGGGCCCCCCACCCGAGAACCGGACCAUCAGAGAAGCCACCCCCCAUCCCAGCCUCAGCAGACAAACAACGGGACAGCCAUACCAUCACACACACCAGCCUACAAUGGUUUCCCUGUCCGUACGUGCCCUAGACAGACAGUCCUAACACAUCGAGUUUAUUGCUGGCUUCGUAAAAACUUCCCCCACACAACACACCCAGGGAUUUGCCAGGAUCUAAAUUUAAACAACCAACUCCUGAAAACACAUGCUGGUCAAACCAAGACAACAGAAGCCAAUAAAGACUGAGAUAGAAAAUGCCCUGGUUGUAUUCGUCAUGUCGACAUUAUUUCUUAUAAUUGUUCUCACUUGUAUUUCUUUACUCUUUUUUGUUUGAUGAGUAGAAAUUUUAGUCAUCAUGUUAUAUGAUUUGGGGAGCUUUGUAUUUGGAAUCCCUAUUUUCAGAACUGACCGUCCCCAACUUUUAAUUUUUCACUCUUCUUUGCCUUCCCCCUGACUUUUUCCACCCACUGAUUUGUUCUUCUUUAUUCCCAGAAAGUCAUUUUACAGUUUAUCAAAAAUGUGUUUUGCCUUGAGCUUUUCAGGAAAAUACGUCUUUGAAAUGAUUUAACGGAUGCUAAUUGUGUUAAUUAUUAGCUAAACCACUCGCUGUGUGUAAUCAUUAAUUUUGAUGGCUAUUAAAGUGAUUUUAAAUGUAAAAGCAUAUUAAAACCAUGAGUUGUUCUCACACUGGA